rnacentral:rRNA from 1 species
UACAGAGAGUGCGAACGUUGUUCGGAAUCACUGGGCUUAAAGCGCACGUAGGCGGCAUCGUAAGUGUCGGGUGAAAUCCCACGGCUCACCCGUGGAACUGCCCGGCAGACUGCGAUGCUCGAGUGUGGUAGGGGAGAACGGAACUCCUGGUGGAGCGGUGAAAUGCGUAGAUAUCAGGAGGAACACCGGUGGCGAAGGCGGUUCUCUGGUCCACAACUGACGCUGAGGUGCGAAAGCUAGGGGAGCAAACGGG